CUGAGGACGGAACUGAGUCAACGUAUUUUCUAGAUCGUGAAGGGUGGGGCGCAGGGCGGCUGUCCCCCGCAAGAGGAGACGCACAAGUCAGCUACUUCCUUAGCUGAGCCCUUUCGCAGCUCCUGCAACUGAGAUUUUAGAUUCUGUCGCCUGUUUCCUUGGUUCGUUGGUACAAGCCAGCCGGAAAGAUGUCCGCGGAGCCUGCGGUGGCCGACACUCGCCGACUGAAUUUGAAACCACAGGACCUGGCGGACGCGUACGGUCCACCCAGCAAUUACUUGGAAAUAGACGUUUAUGACCCACAGAUCGUUGGCGUUGGACGGAACCGUUACACCACAUACGUAGUCCGCAUGCAGACAAACCUCCCAAUUUUCAAACUGAAAGAGUCCUGUGUGAGAAGAAGAUACAGUGACUUCGAGUGGUUAAAGAUCGAGCUGGAAAGAGACAGUAAGAUUGUAGUACCACCCCUGCCGGGCAAAGCCCUGAAGAGACAGUUGCCGUUCCGUGGAGAUGAGGGACUUUUCGAGAAUUCUUUCAUCGAGGAGCGAAGAAUAGGCCUGGAGCAGUUCAUCAACAGAAUUGCAGGUCACCCUCUGGCCCAGAACGAGCGCUGUCUUCACAUGUUCCUUCAAGAGGAGGUCAUCGACCGCAACUACAUUCCCGGAAAAGUAUGAAUGAAGUAAGUUUGCUUUAUUUCGUUUCCUCUAAGAGCUUUGUGAGACUUGAAGGUGGUUGCAUGGGCACAGCUUAUAGUUCACAAGUGAUUAUUGAAACUCUUAAUCCUUUGUGGAGUAAACAUGCUUCAUGUAGUUGUGAAAUUAGCCCUCCUGCACCUCAGCAGGUCAUCAUUGGUAAACAUCAGCCCACACAUGAGUCAUUCACGCCACCACUUCCUUGGAUUUUGGCUUGAUGUGAACUAUUAUGCCGGCACGGAGUCAGGCGGCGUCACCUGUGGCGCUCUUCCAUCUACUAAUACAUUGUCACGUGCGAUUAAACACUAAUCACCGGCUGCAUGGCAAACUUGCACGCUUUUGUUGCAGUGUUCAAUCAUGGCUGACAAAAGACUCAAUGUUUGAAUCACCUUUGUUUGUCCUGAGUUAGAACAACUAAUCGUGGCUGAAGUGAAUUAGCGAUCGAUGCUACAUGCUUAUUAACAUCUCUGCACCAUGUCAUUGUUGCACUGAAGCAGUCAUGGACCUGCUGAGAAUCUUUUAUGUUGACGCAUGUUUUUUUGAAAGCAAUAUAUUUAAAAUGACUGAUGGGCCUCUACUUGUGCCUUGGGGAACACCAUAACAAGUGUGUGAAUUCAACUGUAUUGGAUGAGAUGUUAAGGUGAUGUCUAGGUCUCUUUGUAGAGCAGGCUGUUUUAUGACUUAUUGCAAAAUUGGAUUGAAUACUAAUUCCCAAAAAACUACAUCACCUGUCCUGCAUGUGGAUGCUGUUACCCUCAGACAUCCUGGUGUUCAUUGUGGAGAUUAUAAAGGCUGGAAAUUAAUCUGAAAAUAUCCUAAAUAUGAUGCAUAUAGAAGUGAUAUGAUAAAAUGUCGGGGGGAUUUUUGUGCUUCUAGGUGAAGAGUCAGUGAGCAGCCAACGAAGAAGCAGACAGGAACCAUGUUCUUAUUUCCUGUUAGAGUCUGCUCAGUAUUUUUGUAUUUUUUUUUUGCUACACCCCUUGUGAUAUGAUGGUGAUAUAUUAAGUAGCACAGUGCCUCAGUGAAAACCGGACGGUGUUCUGCUCACUCUUUGUUCUGUUCACUGGUUCUGAACAGGGUCAUCUGCGCAGUCACUGAGGUCAGGUCCAACCUGGUGGAGAUCAUAUCUUCAUGUUGGCCUUGGAGGGCCUCGCUCUUCCCACGGAGGAGUGGAUUAGUGUUCCGUCAGACCCCUCCGACUGCUGCCGCUGAACAUUCCCAACAUCACAUCAGAUGGAACCCGUCCUGGAAAAUCGCGACUGCAGAGCCACGUAUUUGUCUUUCCUCACAUAUGUAAAAUCAGUUUUCGACCGUUGCAACAAGUAGCACUGCAGACAUUGACAUUCCAUGUGUGAGAGCGCAUUCACAUUAUUUUCUCUUCAGUUUGCUUCUAGGGAAGUGAAUUCAUACCCAACACUGUGACAAGAGCUUGGUUUGAAACUCCAUAGUUCAACUAAAGGAAUCCUCAUGUUAUUGUGUUGUAUUACUUUCCUUUGAUUUGGGUGUUGUGGGUCCAUUGGUUCGUGUUGUCAUGCAGUUCCAUUUAUAGAGAAGCUGCUUGUUAAUUCUGUCCGGUGAUUAAAUAACCUGCUGCCUGCUC